GGUAACAUCAAAUCGUACCCCAAACCGACACAGGUGGUCAGGUAGAGAAUACCAAGGCGCUUGAGAGAACUCGGGUGAAGGAACUAGGCAAAAUGGUGCCGUAACUUCGGGAGAAGGCACGCUGACAUGUAGGUGAAGUGAUUUACUCAUGGAGCUGAAGUCAGUCGAAGAUACCAGCUGGCUGCAACUGUUUAUUAAAAACACAGCACUGUGCAAACACGAAAGUGGACGUAUACGGUGUGACGCCUGCCCGGU
rnacentral:rRNA from 14 species